rnacentral:rRNA from 1 species
GUAGGUGGCAAGCGUUGUCCGGAAUUAUUGGGCGUAAAGCGCGCGCAGGCGGUUCUUUAAGUCUGAUGUGAAAGCCCACGGCUCAACCGUGGAGGGUCAUUGGAAACUGGAGAACUUGAGUACAGAAGAGGAAAGCGGAAUUCCACGUGUAGCGGUGAAGUGCGUAGAGAUGUGGAGGAACACCAGUGGCGGAGGCGGCUUUCUGGUCUGUAACUGACGCUGAGGCGCGAAAGCGUGGGGAGCAAACAGGGAUUAGAUACCCUGGUAGUCCACGCCGUAAACGAUGAGUGCUAAGUGUUAGGGGGUUUCCGCCCCCCUUAGUGCUGCAGAUAACGCAUUAAGCACUCCGCCUGGGUGUACGGCCGCAAGGCUG